CCGGCCCGCGCCCCCGCCCGCCCCGCUCUGACGUCAGGCGUCUUGGAGCGGGAUAUUUAUGGCAAGGAUACUCUGAACGUUCCCUAGGGUCUCUUCCAUGACUGGCACCAUCCCCAGGAAACAGCACCAUCCAUCCUAUAACCCUGAGAAGAGAAGCCGCUCACUUGAGGGUGGAGCAGGAAGAUAGGAGCUGAGGCCCGAGAUGACGUCGAUAAGUGGCCGUACCUUCCUCUAACUCCUGGUUAGGUGCAAAAAAUAAAUCUGAAUGUGCUUAAAUGAU